CCGCCGUCUAACAAAGGACGCGUGCGCGAGCAUUGGCCCAUAAAUACUGACAACCGGCAACUGACAACUAUUCACAUCACAGUGUCAGCCGAAGUAUUCACACCUUCCAAGGAUGAAGUUCACUCUUGUGUUGGUUACCAUCACUCUCAGUCUAGGUGUGGUCAUGGCAAACAAACUGCCCGUGGACGUUGAACUAGACGACGGUGCACUGGAUGUAGCUAAUAUAAACGUGCACAAGACUAUGACGAAGCGCCAAGUGCAGCCAUCCUGGUUCAUUAAGUUCGGCGCAAACCCUGGAAACCUUCCGAAUCCGUUUGCUCAAGGAGGAAUCCAGAUUCCACCAGCGCAGGGGAACCCGUUCGCAUUUCCCUUUCAAUUCCCCUGGCAACAACAAGGUAACCAGCAACAGCAGCCACCACAGCAAGGUAACCAGCAUCAGUAGCCACUACAGCAAGCCUAAAAAGAAGCACAUCAGUACACAACAAGGCCUUUGUUUCGUCUCCUUACGUUUCCUAUUCGGAUAUCAAGAGUACAGAAGAGUUACGUCCCAAUGAUUUACUUUGUAUAAAAGCCUCCGCAUUGUGACUUGCUUUUUUUUAUAUUGUUUUACGCGUGUGAAAUAAAUCUCCCUAUUCUUGUGGA